rnacentral:rRNA from 1 species
GAAUUUGUGUCUUGCGCUGUNGGUUCAUCGCUGUUUGCGGUGUUUAACUGGCACGUUGUGAGACGUCUUGCCGGAAGAGCAUGGUAUAUGUUUUAUUUGCGUCUGCAUGAUAUGCACUAUAAUAUGAUUAUUUUUAUAUAUAUUGUUUAAUAGCGGUAUAUAUAUUAUAUGAUUAUUAUUAGUUGUUAUAUUGUGUUUUGACCUGAUAAUAAUGUGUACGUAGCUCGACUUUUUAAAAUCCUGUCUAGGUGCUCUUAAUUGAGUGUCGUGGCGGGCCGGUACGUUUACUUUGAACAAAUUAGAGUGCUUAAAGCAGGCUUAUGUUGCCUGAAUAUAGUGUGCAUGGAAUAAUGAAACAGGACCUCGGUUCUAUUUUGUUGGUUUUCUGAACUGAACGAGGUAAUGAUUAAUAGGGACAGAUGGGGGCAUUCGUAUUGCGACGUUAGAGGUGAAAUUCUUGGAUCG